rnacentral:antisense_RNA from 1 species
GUGGGAGCCAGCCUGCUGGCGAUGACGGACUGUCAGUUGAUGUUUCAUUCGACUGAUACACCGCCAUCGCCAGCAGGCUGGCUCCCAC